AAUUAUCUGAGGAGGGGGACAUUAAACGGAAAUGUGGCUGAAAGGUGGUUAAAUAAAUAAUUAUUCGUUUAAAGGCUUAUCCGGCUUAGUGUAGACAUAGCCUUUAGUUUUACUGUGCGGGGCUUUCGCCGUCUUUGUGCGCCCGGAUAAAGACGUCUUCGGAGUAAUGGCUCCCCCUCGUGGCGUCAAUCAGGCCAGGUGACCGGAUGAUUCCUCCUGGCGGCAACGUGACCGUGGAGGAGAGCAGGUGCCGGAACAAGGCCGAGCAGAACUAUGACGCUGGGAAUAGAGAAUUAAUUAUUGGUGGUCCACGAGGCCCUGGCUGAAUGGAGACAAUGGCGUGAAGGAGCUAGACACCAGUUCCAGAUCCUGACCGAUCACAGCAACCUUCUGCACAUACGAGCUGCCAAAAGACUCAACAACCGCCAGGCAAAGUGGCAGCAGUUUUUCUCCCACUUCAAUUACAUUCUCUCUUUCAGGCCUGGGUCCAAGAACACUAAGGCUGACGCACUAUCCCGGUUAUUCGUGAAAUAGACCACCUGUCCGUCAGCCGCGGAGCCCAUCCUUCCUUCCACUCGCAUUGUUGGAAUGGUGACUUGGAAGGUGGAGGAUCUGGUCAAGUCUGCGCUGCACGCCAAUCCAGGACCGAGAGGUGGACCAUCCUGCAAGCUCUAUGUCCAUCGGAAGCUACGACCUAGGGUCCUGGAUUGGGGGUACUCCAGUCUGUUCUCUUCUCAUCCAGCCUUUCAAAGAUCCCUAUCGCUGCUGCGAAGACGUUUUUGGUGGCCAUCCAUGGCCAAGGAAACUCGUGAGUUCAUCGCUGCUUGUUCUACUUGUGCCCGUAGUAAGACGUCACACAGGCCUCUUGCUGGUUUCCUUCGCCCUCUCUCCAUUCCUGCCCGUCCUUGGUCACACAUCGCCCUGGAUAUCGUCACAGAAUUUCCAACCUCCAGAGGUAACACCACCAUUCUAACUAUUGUUGACCAUUUCUCCAAGGCCGCCCACUUCAUUCCUCUGCGCAAGUUACCUUCUGCCUCAGAGACGUCUGAUCUUCUCACACUACACGUCGUCAAGCAACAUGGUGUCUGACCAAGGUCCUCAGUUUACGUCACAAAUAUGGAGAGCCUUCUGCAAGGGAAUCGGGGCCUUGGUCAGCCUCACAUCGGGAUACCAUCCCCAGAGCAAUGGGCUAGCUGAGAGGGCGAACCGAAGCUUGGAGACCAUGCUACGCUGGGUCGCCAGUCGUCAACCCACGUCCUGGAGCAAGUUUUUACCUUGGGUGGAGUUUUCCUACAACUCCUUGAAGAGCUCCGGGCUCAUAUUAGGCGGUGUCAGAGGGUGUGGAGAGCCGCUCGUGCGGCCUUAGAGAAGGCUUCCGAGAGGAUGUGCCGCAAGGCCAAACGUCAUCGCAUUCCAGCCCCGUCCGAUGAGCCAGGACCACAAGUUAUGCUACUCACGAAGGACCUCAGCCUCCAGCGACACCCAGAGGUCCAUGUGUCCCAGAUUAAGCUGGUAGCAGAGAGCGCGCUGUCCCUCCCGGCCCCUGCACCCCCACCCUCGAGGUUUUUGCCGAACGGAGAUCAGGUUUGGAUGGUCAAGGAAAUCCUCAGGGUCCGUCGACAAGGUAGGGGGCUCGUUUAUCUGGUAGACUGGGAGAGAUAUGGGCCACAAGACAGAUCUCGGGGUCCUGCCUCCAAUCUUGCCGAACCCCUAUCUUCUGGAGGAUUUCUACCGUGCCAAACCUGAUGCUCCCUGGCGCUCGUCGGGGGCCUCGGUGGCUGGAGCUGCGAGCGCCUCCGCUGACAGUGCGCUCAGAAAUGGCCCCACUCGUGCUGAGCGCAGCACGCCCACGCAGAAACGAGCCUGCACAAUGAUCUACACACCUGGACUUGAUGAAAGGGAGCAGCAUAAAGACCAUCCGACCCGAGGAACCUUUGCCAGAUCGUCGCUAAUCUUCCCAUGACUCCACUGUCUUCCGUGAUCGUACCUUGCCUCUCGACAUCCAUCCGGAUUUCUGACUGCCUUCCUCGAUCCACGACCUCCCUGCUCGAACCCAGACCAUGCUGCCUCGCUCGUGCCUCCGACCUCUUACCUGCUCACCAACUGCCUCUUCGCCUUGCCCCUCUGGAUUCGACGAAAGAUACAGCCAACACUCACGGACAACAAACCCUGGUCUGGUGGCCAUGGAUGAAGUGCUGGCCGUCCAGAGUCGGGACCCGGGAUGGACCGCUCGCCUGUGCAUCGGUUGGGGACAUCUCUGCACUGCUGACCAGUUUCCGCUUGGGAUGGUUUCCUGCUGGCUGUACUACGGACGGGACUCUCGCUACUAUAUUUGAUCCACUAUGGACUGGACUCUCACCCUUAUGUUAGAUCCACUAUGGACUGGACUUUCACAAUAUCAUGUUAGACCCGCUCGACAUCCAUUGCUUUCGGUCACCCCUAGAGGGGGCGGGGGAGCGGUCCUCUCCAUGGUUUCUGAUAGUCAGUCACCGACGUCCCACUGGGGUGAGUUUUUCCUUGCCCUUAUGUGGGCUCUGUACCGUGGAUGUCGUGGCUUGUGCAGCCCUUUGAGACACUUGUGAUUUAGGGCUAUAUAAAUAAACAUUGAUUGAUUGAUUGAUUGAUUGAUGGAGAGGAUAAAUGUCUGACUGAUCAGACCAGUUGGGAUUGAUUGAAUUUCCUGAGAACACAAGGACUUUGAUGCGUUUAUCUAAAGACACUCAAACUACACACUGGAAAAAGUGACAUGAUGUCAUGACUCCUUAAUGUUGAAAGAACAUUUA